UCCCUGGUGGCUGAGAGGUUAAAGCAUCUGCCUGCAAUGUGGGAGACCCGGGUUUGAUCCCUGAAUCGGGAA
rfam:Ovis aries breed Texel chromosome 4, whole genome shotgun sequence.